rnacentral:lncRNA from 1 species
GAGAGAAAUCUAGAGAGAGAAAGAGGGUUUCAUUUGGUGUUGGAGAGGGGAGAAAUGAGGGCUAAACCUCAUUACACUCACCCCUAUACACUCACAACACAUUUGCACAUAACCCCCCACACCCCUCCAUGUUUAACACAAUGAUCCAGCUCAUACUGGGCAUUUUCGGGUCUCUGGGAUCGGUUCUAGGAUUGAGAGACCGGUCCCCGAAGGUCCAAAAAUUCUGCACCUUCCAGACUUAGCCAAAAUUUCAGCAUUUUCAGCCUUCGGGUCCGUUUUCGCUCGUUUUCGCUCGUUCGACCUCCGUUUCCUUUCAAAUCGAACCGAGACUCACAAGACAUGUUUUCGAACAUGUUUUCA